UGGGGAAUUUUGGACAAUGGGCGAAAGCCUGAUCCAGCCAUGCCGCGUGCAGGAUGAAGGCCUUCGGGUUGUAAACUGCUUUUGUACGGAACGAAACGGUCUUUUCUAAUACAGAAGGCUAAUGACGGUACCGUAAGAAUAAGCACCGGCUAACUACGUGCCAGCAGCCGCGGUAAUACGUAGGGUGCAAGCGUUAAUCGGAAUUACUGGGCGUAAAGCGUGCGCAGGCGGUUAUGUAAGACAGUUGUGAAAUCCCCGGGCUCAACCUGGGAACUGCAUCUGUGACUGCAUAGCUAGAGUACGGUAGAGGGGGAUGGGAUUCCGCGUGUAGCAGUGAAAUGCGUAGAUAUGCGGAGGAACACCGAUGGCGAAGGCAAUCCCCUGGACCUGUACUGACGCUCAUGCACGAAAGCGUGGGGAGCAAACAGGAUUAGAUACCCCCGUAGUCCCUGAGCGGGC
rnacentral:rRNA from 1 species